UUUAUUUUAGAAAAAAAAAAGGAAAGAAGAAACACUAACCUGUGCAACCCGGCUGCCGGCAUAGGAAUUGACUUCUGCACAUUAGUGAAACAAAAAGGAGUACAAAAGAAAAUAAAGGAAAUGAAAUUACCUGGAAAACGAUGGUCGGCAUGGGAAUCGCUUAAGCUUUGAUCGAGAAAAAAAAAAGGAAAGAAGAAACACUAAUUUGUGCAAACCGGCCGCCGGCAUAGGAAUUGACUUCUGCACAUCAGUGAAACAAAAAGGAGUACAAAAGAAAAUAAAGGAAAAGAAAUUACCUGGAAAACGAUGGUCGGCAUGGGAACCGCUUAAUCUUUCAUCGAGGUUUAGGUUCUCAGCAUCAACAUCACGUAUAGAUCGAUUUCUCAAUCUCCAGUUCAGCAGAUUCAGUUACACAGGUAAUGAGGAUCGUCAUCCAGAGUAUCGUUUAUCCAGCAUAGCACUCCAUAGUCAGUUUGUGAGAAUCCUUUCACUCCGGAGGACAUCUUGUAGUGCUUUCUAGUGAGCUCUAUAGGAUGUUCUAAGGUUUGUCCCAACAUCAAUCUCAGUCAGUUUAGAGGCUUUAUUGACCAAUAAUAGUUCAUUAGUUUUUACAUUUUCAUUCUUAUGUUAAAGACUUGGGUUGCCAUGUUGGCCAAGUUGAAUGUUGAAUCAUUAAGAAAUUCCACUUAUAGUAUUACUUAGCU